rnacentral:rRNA from 1 species
UACGUAGGGGGCUAGCGUUGUCCGGAUUUAUUGGGCGUAAAGAGCGUGUAGGCGGCCAGGUAGGUCUGGUGUGAAAACUCGAGGCUUAACCUCGAGAUGUCAUCGGAAACCAUCUGGCUAGAGUCCGGAAGAGGAGAGUGGAAUUCCUGGUGUAGCGGUGAAAUGCGCAGAUAUCGGGAGGAAUACCAGUGGCGAAGGCGGCUUCCUGGCCUGUUCUUGACGCUGAGGCGCGAAAGCUAGGGUAGCAAACGGG